rnacentral:rRNA from 1 species
CAGUAGCCGCGGUAAUACGAGGGGGGCAAGCGUUGUUCGGAAUUAUUGGGCGUAAAGGGUGCGUAGGCGGCUUGACAAGUCUUGUGUGAAAUCUAUGGGCUCAACCCAUAGUCUGCACGGGAAACUGUCGGGCUUGAGAAUGGGAGAGGUGAGUGGAAUUUCCGGUGUAGCGGUGAAAUGCGUAGAUAUCGGAAGGAACACCUGUGGCGAAAGCGGCUCACUGGACCAUUUCUGACGCUGAUGCACGAAAGCUAGGGGAGCAAACAGGAUUAGAUACCCCUGUAGUCCCUGUCUCUUAUAU